rnacentral:lncRNA from 1 species
GUUUCCCGGUGGCACUUUGGGUCUUGAUGAAACUACAGCGCAGGCACACGAGGGCCUCAGAGCCUCCAGGGUGAGCAGCAGUACAGGUACCUAAGGUCGCCCUGUACUGUUGGGCAGGUUGGGGCCUGAACAACCUGCUUGCCCUAGAGGGAAAACCAGGAAAAGGAGCCAGUGACUCUCACUAGUCCUGUUGGGGCACUUGGUUCCCCUCAGAGAAUCUGGGGAGUCGCGUUUCCAGAGAGGCUCCUCUGGCUCCGCCUGGGCUCCAUGGGGAACAGAGGCUCCAGCGGAACCGUCCUCGUGAGCAGGAAGAUCCAGAAGUCUCACAGUGUCAGAGCGGGUGACAAGGAGGAUGCGGACGUAGUCUCGUGUUUUUACAAGCCGCCUCUCCGCUGGAUGGCGCUCAGUGGCAGCAGUUACGUUUUUUAAUCACAUCUCAUAAAGACUCACGAAAGAAGACUGCAGAGACACUGCAGAAAAUUGCUGGAACACACGAGCGAUGCUGGUGGAGUAUUUAUGGAGUGGAUCCAUGGACAAAGGCCUGGCCGGCAGCGCGGUGGUAACAUGAGACAAGUGCUGGACAACAGAGGUGCCCGACCCGGCCAAGCAAGGGAAGGGCCGGGCUGGAGACAGGAUGCGAGCGUGGGGAGAACACUGGGGACUGUCAGCUCACAAUUGGGCCAAGACUGUUUUUUGUGGGGGUGGUUGGUAACGGGGAUCGCACUGGGGUCCUUCCGCUUGGGAGGCAGGCUGUGGAACCACUGAGCUAAAUCCCUGGCCCCACCAAUGUUUUUUGUUGAGACAGGAUCUGGCUUUCGUGGCCCAGACUGGCCCUGAGCCCUUCAUCCUACGGCCUCAGCCUCCAGAGAGCUGGGACUGCAGGUGUGUCAAGAUUACCCUGGGGUGGGAGUGUCAGCACGGGACCCCGCUUUAAGAGAGCCCCUGUAGCCUCCCGAGAGCUGGGGGAGCGUUGGGAGGCGUCGCCCGGUGCCUGAGCAGGACUGCGGUGAUUGCAGCCUUCGGUGACAGCAGCCGGGGACAGCGAUCUGGAGGCAGGCCGCGGGGACUGGACCCCGCCAGGGCCUCGGGGAGGAGGCCUGGGCGCAGCUCCUCGGCCCGUGCCUCCCUCCCAUUCCGUCCGGUCUGAGCCACUCCCACGGC